rnacentral:piRNA from 1 species
UGGCCACGUGCCUUUCUCCAGGUACUUAC